GGGGCGGGGUGACCAUACAGAGCCCCUGUAUACAAGAAUACAGAGGGGAAUCAUUCUGGUCCAACCAGGCUAGUAUGUAAUGGCCCUGAUGUGAAAUAGAAAAGAGAACAGUAAGUUAUAUUUCUUGAGCCUUCUCAUUGCAAGAUUUAUAACAGACAACCUAAAUUUGCUGCCAUUUAGUCAACUAUAUCCUAGUAAACUCUUCAGCAUAAUGUGGUGGUUUUUUUAUUUCAAUGUCCUAUACCUUCAUGCAGGAUGAUGCUUCUGGCGCCGGCAGCAACACCAUCGCGUAUGACGUGCCCUCCGGCAGCAACAACCACACGAUCCAGGGAGACCACAGCAACCACACAAUCGUGAACAACGUACCUUCUGCCGCCGGGGCCACGUCGGAGGCCGUCGUGCGGUUGCUGCCGCCGGAGGGCACGUCAAGUGACGUGGCAUUUUGUUUUUAUUGUGUGCUGUGGUUUUAGUGUGUUUUAUAUUGGUUUUAUCUUUGCAGUGCAUUUUAACUUUAUUUAUAGUUUUAAGGACAUGCCAAGUCACAUGCUUUUAACCACAUGACUUUUACCCCAAUCCCUGCUGUGAGGCGAUCAGCACACCUGUGCGUGGUAAUCAGCGCACCUGUGUCUGAUUGGGACUGGAACAGACAAAAGGGAGCACAGGAGCCACAACAGGGACAGAGCAAGGGAGGAGAGAGGGAGGCGCAGGAGAGGACACGAGGACACGAGGACACGAGGACACGCGGCCGCUGCGGCCGCUGGAGCUGGAAGGCCACGGCGCACCACCACCACGAGUCGGAGAGCAGGACGGCACACGCAUUGGGGACCACGACCACGCUGGGACCGCAAGUGCUGCGAAGCGACAUACACGCAGGGGCAGAGGAGGACUCUGCCUUCCGUUUUCCGCGUAGGUGUCAGCGUGCGGAGGACGAGAGCCAGCCGGGAGGGAUCGAGACGGAGUGAAGGAGUGUUGUGAUGCUGGAGACACGCAGGGGCAGAGGAUAACUCUGCCUUGUGUGUAAGUAUUGUAGCGACACUCCACCAGCGUAGCCUAAGGCCCUGUAGUCUCGGACCCCCGUGCUGGCGUAUGUUUUACGUUGCAGGAGACCCGGUGCGUGUGACCAGAAGGACCCCUACCCUGGAGUCGAACCUAUCUGCACACCCCACUUCACUGUGGAUGGUGCCCCGUUUUUAGUGUCGUAGUUUUAUCCUUUUUUAGCCCACCUUGUUUUUAAUGGACUUUUAGCAUAGUGUUUUUAUUUGUGGGCAUUUUUACUGUUUUAAUUAUUCCUGCAUUAAAUUUUAAAUAACCUGUAACUACUUUUUGUCCUCCUUGGUAAACAGUGUGCUCUCACCCGGUCACUCAAUUCCUCCUUUUGCAAUAGUUAUUUUUCCGGUCAAAUUUCAUUCCACUUUCAAACACCUCCAUAGCACCCCCCCUCAUUACAUAAAUUCUAGUGUCGUCAUCAACCUGGCACUUCA
rnacentral:lncRNA from 1 species